AUUGACCGCUGGCGGCAGGCCUAACACAUGCAAGUCGAGCGAGCGGCGGACGGGUGAGUAAUGUCUGGGAAACUGCCUGAUGGAGGGGGAUAACUACUGGAAACGGUAGCUAAUACCGCAUACCAUCAGAUGUGCCCAGAUGGGAUUUGCUAGUAGGUGGGGUAACGGCUCACCUAGGCGACGCUCCCUACCUGGUCUGAGAGGAUGACCAGCCAGCCUGGAACUGAGACACGGUCCAGACUCCUACGGGAGGCAGACGUGGGGAAUAGUGCACAAUGGGCGCAAGCCUGGUGCAGCCAUGCCGCGUGUGUGAAGAAGGCCUGCGGGUUGUAAAGCACUUUCAGCGGGGAGGCGUUACCCGCAGAAGAAGCACCGGCUAACUCCGUGCCAGCAGCCGCGGUAAUUC
rnacentral:rRNA from 1 species